rnacentral:rRNA from 1 species
AACGUAGGUCACAAGCGUUGUCCGGAAUUACUGGGUGUAAAGGGAGCGCAGGCGGGAAGACAAGUUGGAAGUGAAAUCCAUGGGCUCAACCCAUGAACUGCUUUCAAAACUGUUUUUCUUGAGUAGUGCAGAGGUAGGCGGAAUUUCCGGUGUAGCGGUGGAAUGCGUAGAUAUCGGGAGGAACACCAGUGGCGAAGGCGGCCUACUGGGCACCAACUGACGCUGAGGCUCGAAAGUGUGGGUAGCAAACAGG